ACUCCUACGGGAGGCAGCAGUGGGGAAUAUUGCACAAUGGGCGCAAGCCUGAUGCAGCCAUGCCGCGUGUGUGAAGAAGGCCUUCGGGUUGUAAAGCACUUUCAGUCGUGAGGAAGGUAGUGUAGUUAAUAGCUGCAUUAUUUGUACGUUAGCGACAGAAGAAGCACCGGCUAACUCCGUGCCAGCAGCCGCGGUAAUACGGAGGGUGCGAGCGUUAAUCGGAAUUACUGGGCGUAAAGCGCAUGCAGGUGGUUGUUAAGUCAGAUGUGAAAGCCCGGGGCUCAACCUCGGAAUAGCAUUUGAAACUGGCAGACUAGAGUACUGUAGAGGGGGUAGAAUUUCAGGUGUAGCGGUGAAAUGCGUAGAGAUCUGAAGGAAUACCGGUGGCGAAGCGGCCCCUGGACAGAUACUGACACUCAGAUGCGAAAGGCGUGGGAGCAAACGAGGAUUAGAUACCCCGUGGUAGACUGUCA
rnacentral:rRNA from 1 species